GACGAACGCUGGCGGCGUGCCUAAUACAUGCAAGUUGAGCGAUGAAGAUUGGUGCUUGCACCAAUUUGAAGAGCAGCGAACGGGUGAGUAACGCGUGGGGAAUCUGCCUUUGAGCGGGGGACAACAUUUGGAAACGAAUGCUAAUACCGCAUAACAACUUUAAACAUAAGUUUUAAGUUUGAAAGAUGCAAUUGCAUCACUCAAAGAUGAUCCCGCGUUGUAUUAGCUAGUUGGUGAGGUAAAGGCUCACCAAGGCGAUGAUACAUAGCCGACCUGAGAGGGUGAUCGGCCACAUUGGGACUGAGACACGGCCCAAACUCCUACGGGAGGCAGCAGUAGGGAAUCUUCGGCAAUGGACGAAAGUCUGACCGAGAAACGCCGAGUGAGUGAAGAAGGUUUUCGGAUCGUAAAACUCUGUUGGUAGAGAAGAACGUUGGUGAGAGUGGAAAGCUCAUCAAGUGACGGUAACUACCCAGAAAGGGACGGCUAACUACGUG
rnacentral:rRNA from 1 species